GAGACGUAAUGCAUCAGAAAGCGAAAGUGAAAAUAGUCUUCUGUAGUUUCCUUCUAAACUUUUGUAACUUUAAAAGAGAAGAGAACAUUCAUACAAAGGUAGCCUACAUCUCCCGAGCUAGAACAUCAACCUUGUGACAUAGAAUGGCAUCUGGUCCGGAAUCUGGGUCUUCUUCUGGCCAACCCUUCAACAUCUCAGCCAAUAAUGGGUCCAGUGUCAACGCUCCCAUAAUGACUGGUAACACCAUUGGGGCAGUCCAUUAUCAUACAGGCCCUUUGUCUGCGGCACCCCAGCACACCAGACCCUCCUGCCCCAUGGGGUCAUCAGUUCAUGAUUUCCUGAAAACACACAAGAAUGCUCUGGAGAACAGGAUGGGCAACCUUCGUCCCAUCCUCAGCAGUCUCAUAGACCUUGGGGUUCUGAGUGAGGAGGAUAGAGAGGAGAUAGAUAUCAAAACCACACGGACCAAGAAAAAUGAAGCUCUGCUGACCAUGGUUAAUAACAAGGGGAAAACUGCACAGGAACAGUUUUACCAGGCCCUGAAAAAAGCAGACCGUUCCUUGGUGGAAGACCUAGAGGGAUAAACGACCUCCUGAUACACUGCCGUAUCCAUAAUUGCCUAUUCCAUUCCGUUAUGAAAUAAGACCAAAUGUUUACGAAUAAAUCAUCCAAAUUAGGAUAGUUUAUUUAAAUUCCAUUAUAACAUGAAUUAGAAAGGUAAUUCCAAUGACAUUAUCUUAUCUGUCAUACCAUGAAUCAAUAAACACGUUUAUCUUA